AUGGCCAGCCGCAACGUUAACGGCGCGUCGUGGUCCACUGGCCUCUGGGACUGCUGCGACGACGUCGGUGGCUGCUUCCUCACCUGGUGCUUCCCGUGCAUCACCUUUGGGAGGAUCGCCGAGAUCGUCGACGAGGGGGAGAUACCAUGCUGUGCGAGCGGGUCCUUGUACGUGCUGCUGUGCAUGACCACGGGGUUGGGCAUGGGACUCUACUCCUGCUUCUACCGGUACAAGCUGCGGAAGGCGUACGAGCUUGCGGAGAAGCCCUGCGCCGACUGUUGCGUCCACUUCUUCUGCGGGGCCUGCGCCCUCUGCCAGGAGUACCGCGAGCUCAAGAACCGGGGCUUCCACAUGCACUUGGGAUGGCAAGCCAACGUCGAGAGGAUGGGGAAGGGGACGACCGUCGCGCCCCAAGUGGACCCCGGGAUGACUCGUUAA
rnacentral:rRNA from 1 species